rnacentral:rRNA from 1 species
CAGUCGCCGCGGGAAUACGUAGGGUGCAAGCGUUAAUCGGAAUUACUGGGCGUAAAGCGCACGUAGGCGGCUUGGUAAGUUAGAGGUGAAAGCCCGGAGCUCAACUCCGGAAUUGCCUUUAAGACUGCCGAGCUAGUAGGUGAGAGAGGUAAGUGGAAUUCCGUGUGUAGAGGUGAAAUUCGUAGAUAUUCGGAAGAACACCAGUGGCGAAGGCGGUUUACUGGCUCAUUCUAGACGCUGAGGUGCGAAAGCGUGGGGAGCAAACAGGAUUAGAGACCCGAGUAGUCCCUGUCUCUUAUAC